CAGAAUUCAAUAGGAGAGAAAAUAUCGUGGAUCAGAAACAAUAUGAUUCCAGGCGUGUGACCCUAUACUCCAGAGAUAACUGCAAGUUUGUUAGAAACGGAGGUAUGUAGCAAGAAAUGAUGAAGAAAUGGAAGAAAUUACUAUUAAAAGGUCUAUAGCUAGCAACAGGAGUAGACAGCAUGCUAGGAGGGAACAUAUAAUUAGAGUAGAAAGAACUAGGAGAAUAUCAUACACGUGGAAUAGAAAUUUCUGAUAUUUUAAAUGCAACUCAGUGUGAAAUGUUAUUGAAUUGGAAUAAUGAAUUACAGUGUGCGAAUAAUUUUAAAUUUAUAAGGUUUGGCGAGAAAGAUUUAAAGAAAGUAUUAGAGCUAAGAAAAAGAA